UUAUUAUAUACUUCUAUUUUUUUUUGAGAAAAUCUUAUUAUAUACUGUACUUGUAUUACAGAGUACUUACACUAUUUAUAUACGGAUAAUUUUUUUGUGAAGAAAUUGUAAAAUAUAUUGUAAAAAAAUUUAAAUGAAUAGUAAAUUCUAUUGUUAAAAAAAAAAUUAAAAAAAAAUUGUAAAUCUAUUUCCCUCCCCCAUCCCUAAUUGAUCCCGUAAACCCUCAAUUUCUCAAUCAAUUAAACUUCUAUACCAACCCAAACUCAAAAAACCCCCCAAAUUUUCUCCCUAAAUCCCUAAAACUUCCCAAAAAAUUUCAUCAUCGCCCUCUAGAAUGGAGGAAUCAGAGAAGAGAAGAGAGAGAUUAAGAGCAAUGCGAUUAGAAGCAACAACUGAUGCUGUUCCAUCAUCUUUCCCUCAACAAACCCUAAAUUCAAUUUUACCAGCACCAUUGCUCAAUAAUGAAGAUUCCGACGCCGCUGCAGCUGCUGCUGUAACUCCGCCGCCUCGAUUUGAUUAUUAUACCGAUCCAAUGGCCGCUUACUCCACCGAUAAACGGCGGCCUUUCACUCCUAGACCCCAUGUUUCACCCUCUCCUCAAGGACCAAGGAAUCCUCAAAUGCCCCAUCCUGGUGCCCCUCAAUUCCAACAUAAUGUUGCAGCUCAUCAGGGUAUUUAUCAAGGUGGAGAUCCUAAUUAUAACCCCGGCUGGCCUGGUCCAACUUCAAGUCCAAUAGGAAUUAGGAGCCCAUACCUUAUGCACCAAGGUAGUCCAAACUUCGGUGCUGCACCUGGCAGGGGUCACUGGUUUAAUAAUAAUCCUAGUCCUGGUCCUCCUGGUACAUGUGGAGGUAGCCCUUAUCCUCUGUAUCAAGGUAGCCCUAACAUCAGAUCUCCUCCACAAGGAAGAGGUCACUGGUCCAGCAAUAGUCCCAGGCCUCCCAGCCCGGGUCCUGGACGUGGAGGCGGUCCUAGCCCUAACGUAGGAAGAGGGAGGGGUCGGUGGGAUGGCAUUAGGAUGAGCCCUAGUCCAGGAUAUUCUGGUGGAAGAGGAAGGGGAAGAAGCUAUGAUAAUGGUCAAGCACGGUCUUUCUACAACAAGUCCAUGGUGGAGGACCCUUGGGCAUCCUUAACGCCUGUUAUUUGGCAAGGGGAGAAAGAGAAUGAUGUUAAAAGUUUCACAAACAACCGAGGGUAUUUUCAGAAAACUCCUACAUUUCAAAAACCUCCUAGUGCAAAAAAACCUCGGGUUUCAAAUCCUUUUGACGCAUCCAACUCGAAGAAGAGUGGGAGCCUUGCCGACUACUUAGCUGAAUCUUUUAAUGAAGAUGUUGAAGAAGAAUCAGCCAGUAUAUUAUAAUGCUGCUUUUUCAAUUACAGGGGGAUGUGGUAGCUUUGGUACUUCAUUGUUAUUUUCCAUAAACUAAUUCCAUCCAUUUCACAAUAUGAUCACUAGUCUUUUUAAGAGGUAGACCUAACUUCAGAUCUCCUCCGCAAGGAAGGGGGUCACUGGUCCAACAAUAGUCCCAGCCUCCCAGGCCUCCUGCCGCUGGACCAGGACUUGGAAGAGGGAGGGGUUGGUGGGAUGGCAGCAGGAUGAGCCCUAGUCCAGGAUAUUCUGGUGGAAGAGAAAGGGGAAGAAACUGUGAUUGUAGUCGAGCACGGUCUUUCUACAACAAGUCCAUGGUGGAGGAUCCUUGGGAAGCCUUGACGCCUGUUAUUUUGCAAGGACAGAAUGGGAAUGAUGUUAAAAGUUUUGCAAAUAACCGAGGGUAUCUUCAGAAAACUCCUACAUUUCUGAAACUCCAAAUGCAAAAGCUCAGGCUUGACGCAUCCAACUCAGAUAGCUGAAUCUUUUAAUGAACUGUUGACGAAGCAGCCAAAAAAAAAUAAAAAUAAAAAUAAAAUAAAAUCACAGGUGUCUCUUGGAGGUUGAGUUUGGCUCCUCCUACUGGAUAGGAUUUGAUAAAUACUGUAGUAAUUUUCAGUAGCUUAUGGAAUGUUCUCUUUUUUCUUUUAUUUUUAUUUUUAUUUUUAUAACAAUUAGCAUUAGCAAUGUACGAAAAUCUAAUGCAUUAACCAUUCAAAGUUUUUGGAAGAAUACUGGCAAUGUUAAUUCUCAAUGAUGGUUCUGAUCUCA